CACACACACACACACACACAAACACACACAGUGUUUAUUUGCAUGAGUGAGACAGCCAGUACUGCUACAGACGAGCACCAUGCUGAAGAGCUACAAAGUUCAGGAUGACUGAAAAACGGUUUUUAACUCCAUCUUAAAUCUGAUCCUCGUUCCACAUGCACACCUAUUCUGGGAAGCGGUGAGAAAAUAGCCACAAACAUCCUCGGUAAGGAGAGAAGGUAUAUUUUUACGAGUGUUAAUCGCAGGGUAUGCCUGACCCCUGUGUGUGUGUGUGUGUGUGUGUGUUUGUGCAUCUGUGUCAAAACAGUCAAUACACUAAACAACAGUAUGCAACUAUUUAUAUCAUUUAUUCUAUAAAUAAGCAUUCGAUUAUGACUUCAGAGCAUUAUUAUUACUAUUGCAUGAUUAUUAUUACUCAUAAAAAUCAGACACACAUUAAACACCCUAUUGCACUUCUGCAAAAAGUCCCCGAAUCGCUUCUAGACUCUUCUUCUAACCUGAAAUUUGCUUUGCAAAGAGACACACCGACUUAGUUAACAUAUAUUGAACAGGAUCGCACGCAUUCGUUCUGCGGACAUGAACUCACACGCAGUUCUCUGGUCAUCUGUAGACAACAUAUGUGUACACACCUUUGACAUUAUACUAUUAAGUUAAACACGUAGUCAUGACUCAGGUACGAUUGGGUACAAACGCAUGACUCUAUACACAAGUGUUGCUUGUUGAAAAUUUAUGCAAAUAACAGCAACUUGUACUGUCUGUCUGUGUGCUUACCUCUGCUGUGUUGUUGCAGCGUCGUGAAAAACAAGGAAAGAAAAUUCCCUCUGUCUGAGGACAGUUUAUAUAGCUCAGCCACACAGGGGGCGUGUCCCACUCACAGAUUACAGAUAAGCCCCACCCCCUAUGAGAGGCCCCGCUCUCCCUCCACGCGCAUGCACACACACACACACACAGAGCAUAUGGUGUAGAUAAAAAGCCCAGUCACUGCUGGUUAAUUAAUAUCUUUCACAAACAUAAUGUAAUGUCACUGUUUGUGUUACACGACAACUGUUCCUUUCCGUAUAAGGAGUGUAGAAUCAAAUAAAACGUCAAAUUUAAUGGAAUAGAAUCAAGGGCAAGAAUCAAGUGCUCCCUGUAUUGUGACCAGGUACCAUUAUUUUCCCAGAAGAGCAAUGAUGAUCAUUUUAAUUUGAUAAACUGAAUAUUGUGUUUGUGUAACUGGUGUCAUUUAUUAUGUUAAUGUCAUCGUGCUGUUUAGCUUGCUAUGUAAUAAGCGUUCAAAGUGUACAACAAUAUAUCGUGGAAACCUGAAACGUUAGCUAUGUAAAGGGUACUGGAGUUUUCUUUUCUUAAUUCUAAAGACAAAGUGCCAUCAUUAGUUCUGAAUGGAUGACUACGAUAUGGCCACAACGCAGACGUUAGUUCCGUAUCUCUCGUUGCCAAGCUACCUCUCGUUACCUCAGCAUUAUGCUGAGCCUCAUAUUUGUAAAAUCACUUAGUUGUCCUUAGCCCAAAUGUUGUGUAAAGGAAUGAAAUUCUUUGCAACUUUCCUCACUUUCACUCGCAUUUAUAACGGCCUGGCACAACGUGAGGGUUCACAACGAACUCGGCGGGAGGAUAUGCACGUGAAUGUAACGUUAAUGGUCAAAAACUGGAACUGACGUUAGCCUAGCCUACUUCGUGGGUGUGCAAAUGUCAAAAGUUAAUUGACGUAUUUAAGGACAAACCAACCCAUGGUACGAUGCCUUCUAUACUAUGCUAAGGUUACCUACUGUUUAAGUAUCUAGUUACUUACUGUCUGAAAAAAAGCUCGUAUGUUCUGCUGCACUUUUCUACGCUUGGCUGCUGUCUCCAUUUCUUAGAGCCGGAGCGGCUAAAACAUAUCAACGAACUUGCGUUGAGUAUGGGCGCAACCACGCGUACAAUUGGAGGGAUAGAAUAGCAUAUAAUAGCAUAGAAUAUAACAUAACACAGCAGUAUAGAAUGAAAUAGAAUAGAGUUGAACAGAAAAGAUAACCAGCAGCUGGAUUUUUUUUUUUUUUUUUUUU